GGGAAAGGAAGGGGAGGGUGUCGGGCGGUGCGGCGGCGUUUCCCGUCCCCCGCGGAAGAUGGCGGCGCCCAGCGCGCUCCUGGCCUGGUGCGUCCAACACCUGCGCGGGGACUUCGGGCUGGACGUGGGCGAGGACGUGGUGAGGUACAUCUUGUCCAUCACAAACGAGGAUGAGAUCCGCGAGUACGUUGUUGACCUUGUUCAGGGCACGGACGGGAAGAAGAGCUGGUUUGUGGAAGAGCUGCUGAGCAGGUGGAGGAAAUCUGCCCAGCUGCCCUCCGAGCCCUUCCCAGCCUACCGGAAAAAGGACGAGGCUUUGGAAGUGCCACGGGCUGGGGACCAAGGGAAGAAGGGGAAGCGCAAAGGGCGGAACAAGCAGGAGACCCCGGCGUACAGCGAGCCCAGUGCUCACGGGGAGGAGGUGAAAACCCCACUGGACCUGGCCAAGGUGUGCACUAAAGAAGAGCAGGACAUUCUUCAGCGGGACUCCAACAAGAGCCAGAAGCUGCUGAAGAAGCUCAUGGCAGGUGCCGAAAGUUCAGGGAAUUUGGAUGCCAUAAGCAAAGGCUUGCUGCCUCAGCAGGAAGCAAGACUCAAGUCAGGCCUGGAGAUGGCUGUGAAGCACAAAGACAAGCUGCUGGAAUUUGAUAGGACAAGCGUGCGUCGGACGCAGGUCAUUGACGACGAGUCGGAUUACUUUGCCACGGACUCCAACCAGUGGCUCUCCAAGCAGGAGAGGGAAGCGCUCCAGAAGAGGGAGCAGGAGCUGCGGGAGCUGCGCCACGCCUCUCGGCUGGCCAAGAAAAUCACCAUCGACUUUGCUGGCAGGCAGAUCUUGGAGGAAGACAACAACAUGGCUGAGUACCACAGCAAACUGGAUGAGACCAUUGCAGCCAUGAGCUGUGGCGCACUGAGCGAGCCAGCCAGGAGCCCUGGGGCAGAGAUGACACCAAACUCUGGGGUUUUGGUGAAUCCCCGUCUCCUCCAGCCUGCUCCUUUGUGGGUGGACCAAACUGGUUUGCUCCCACAAAGGAAAACUGUUCGUUCCAUGGAGGCUGGAAGUGAGUCUGGCUUGGAGCGGAACCGGCUGCGGAUUCAGGACCGAGAGCUGCAGGAGAUCUCAGAUGAUGGUUGGUGCCUCAGCCUGCACCAGCCUUGGGCUUCCUUGCUUGUGAGAGGAAUCAAAAGGGUGGAGGGCAGGACCUGGUACACAUCUCAUCGAGGGAGGUUAUGGAUUGCAGCUACUGCUAAAAGACCUUCCCCUCAGGAAAUCUCAGAACUGGAGGCCACCUACAGAAUGCUGCUCCGGAAAGAUGUGGAAUUUCCAAGUGAUUAUCCCUCAGGAUGCCUCCUGGGCUGUGUGGACGUGACUGAUUGUUUAUCACAAGAGCAAUUUCAGGAGCAGUAUCCAGACCUGAGCCAGGAGUCCGGGUCUCCAUUUGUCUUUAUCUGCACUAAUCCCCAGGAGAUGGUUCUGAAGUUUCCCAUCAAAGGAAAACACAAAAUCUGGAAGCUGGAUGCAAAGAUCCAUCAGGGAGCAAAGAAGGGGUUAAUGAAGCAGAAAGCUGUGGGGUGAGCGCCGGGGAGCAGCACUGGUUCCCAUGAAGCACCCAACUGCCUCUGAAGGGAGCCAGGAUGGUCUUCAGCUCUGGAAAGCAGGUGCAAGAUGGAUCCCUGAUCUCAGAUUAUGUUUAGCAGCGAUGCCGUCACCUGGGCAGACCCAGACCACUGGAAGCCCCCCAAGGACGUAGGUGACCCCCAGGGCGUAGAGGCAGGGAAGAGCCUUGA